rnacentral:lncRNA from 1 species
GCUUCUGAGACUUGUUUGGGGAGGUUAAAAUUUGGAGGAUAACUCCCAGCUAGAAAGGAAGAAAAGCUCUAAAGUGGAAUCGCCUUCCCCCGGAAGCUGUUGUAAAAAUUAAAGGAUGUAUGUGAGUGCACAG